rnacentral:rRNA from 1 species
UACGUAGGUGGCAAGCGUUGUCCGGAUUUACUGGGCGUAAAGAGCGCGCAGGCGGUCGUUUAAGUCGAAUGUGAAAGCCCCCGGCUCAACUGGGGAGGGUCAUUCGAUACUGAUCGACUUGAAGGCAGGAGAGGGAAGUGGAAUUCCGGGUGUAGUGGUGAAAUGCGUAGAUAUCCGGAGGAACACCAGUGGCGAAGGCGACUUCCUGGCCUGUUCUUGACGCUGAGGUGCGAAAGCGUGGGGAGCAAACAGG